rnacentral:rRNA from 1 species
GACAGAGGGUGCAAGCGUUGUUCGGAAUCAUUGGGCGUAAAGGGCGCGUAGGCGGUUCGGCAAGUCGAAUGUGAAAGCCCAGGGCUCAACCUUGGAAGUGCAUCCGAAACUAUCGAACUAGAAUCUCGGAGAGGGUGGUGGAAUUCCCAGUGUAGAGGUGAAAUUCGUAGAUAUUGGGAGGAACACCGGUGGCGAAGGCGACCGCCUGGACGAAGAUUGACGCUGAGGCGCGAGAGCGUGGGGAGCAAACAGG